GACGAACGCUGGCGGCGUGCUUAACACAUGCAAGUCGAACGGAAAGGCCUCUUUCGGGGGGUACUCGAGUAGCGAACGGGUGAGUAACACGUGAGUAACCUGCCCUUGACUUUGGGAUAACUUCAGGAAACUGGGGCUAAUAACGGGUAGGAGCUCCUGCUGCAUGGUGGGGGGUGGAAAGUUUCGGCGGUUGGGGAUGGACCUGCGGCUUAUCAGCUUGGUGGUGGGGUAGUGGCGUACCAAGGCGUUGACGGGUAGCCGGCCUAGGCGGGUGACCGGCCACCUUGGGACUGGGAUACGGCCCAGCCGCCUACGGGCGGCAGCAGUGGUGAAUAUUGCGCAAUAGGUGGAAGCCUGAUGCAGCAACGCCGUGUGCGGGAUGACGGCCUUCGGGUUGUAAACCGCUUUCGCUCAUGACGAAGCUUUGUGUGACGGUAGUGGGUAAAGAAGCACCGGCUAACUACGUG
rnacentral:rRNA from 1 species